CAACCUGAACUCAGUCGUGAUUACCCGCUGAACUUAAGCAUAUCAUUUAGCGGAGGAAAAGAAACUAAAAAGGAUUCCCCUAGUAACGGCGAGUGAAACGGGAAGAGCCCAGCGCCGAAUCGAUCAGUCUUUGGCUGCUUCGAAAUGUGGCGUAUAGGUGUAGUCUUCCAGCAGUGUCGUAUGUCCGAAGUCCUUGCGAUUGAGGCCAUAAACCAGAGAGGGUGCGAGCCCCGUUCUGGAUAGCGGCGCUGUUGGUUCGACUGCUCCUUGGAGUCGGGUUGCUUGAAAGUGCAGCCUAAAGUGGGUGAUAAACUUCAUCUAAGGCUAAAUAUUGACUCGAUUGCGAUAGCGAACAAGUACCGUGAGGGAAAGUUGCAAAGGACUUUGAAGAGAGAGUUCAAGAGAACGUGAAAUCGCUGGAGUGGAACCGGAGACAGUUGAUGUUGCUUGGAGACAAUCUUGGUGGCUGAUCGCUUAGCUGUGAUCGCCGCCGGGAGUCGUUUCCUAUGCUACGCCGACGGCGUUGGCCGCUCGUUCUGGCCCGACAGUGUUGCCCAUCUCGCAAGAGACGGUGUCUUGUUGUCGGUCGUUGGUUCGUGGUGGCUAGCGUUUAGUUACGCUAGUGUGUGUGACGUCGGUGUGAAAGUCGACGACGUUUCCGACCCGUCUUGAAACACGGAUUACGGAGUGUUUGUCUGCUGCAGUCAAAGGUGUAAAAACCUUGCG
rnacentral:ncRNA from 1 species